rnacentral:rRNA from 1 species
GAUGAACGCUAGCGGCAGGCUUAAUACAUGCAAGUCGAGGGACAGCACAGGUAGCAAUACUGGGUGGUAACCGGCAAACGGGUGCGGAACACGUACACAACCUUCCUUUAAGUGGGGGAUAGCCCAGAGAAAUUUGGAUUAAUACCCCGUAAUAUAGUUGAAUGGCAUCAUUUGAUUAUUAUAGCUACGGCGCUUAAUGAUGGGUGGGCGGCUGAUUAGAUAGUUGGCGGGGUAACGGCCCACCAAGUCUACGAUAAGUAGCUGAUGUGAGAGCAUGAUCAGCCACACGGGCACUGAGACACGGGCCCGACUCCUACGGGAGGCGGCAGUAAGGAAUAUUGGUCAAUGGACGCAAGUCUGAACCAGCCAUGCCGCGUGAAGGAUUAAGGUCCUCUGGAUUGUAAACUUCUUUUAUUUGGGACGAAAAAGGGCCUUUCUAGGUCAACUGACGGUACCAGAUGAAUAAGCACCGGCUAACUCCGUGCCAGCCGCCGCCGUAAAAC